AGAUCACCACGGUGACUUGCAAGCAACUCACUAUACUUUGAUAUCGGACUAUCUAAAUUUUUAAUUCAAUGAUGAAAAAUUUUUGGCCAUGAUUAAGUACUUGUUAAGUUGAUGUAUGAGUCAAGAUAGGAUUGACCGCUCUUGAUUUCAGGAGUUGGUACUAUAUUGUGUUUCAAUUCAAUAAAAUUUUGGCCAGGAUAGUCUUUGUGAGAGUCACAGGAUUUAUGAGGUUGAGACACAUUAUGGU
rnacentral:lncRNA from 1 species